AGCCUUAGAAAUGAAGAAGAAUGAGGCAACAGAGAGAUUGGGAUUUUCUGUAAAAGGGUGGUUGCCCCUCUCUGUUAUGUCUAUGAUUUCUCCAUUGAAAAUCAACAGCCCUUUCAAUUAAACCAAAAAAACAAAAACAAAAAAAAUCAUCCAAACACACCCCUAAUAUAUAUUCCUCUUCCUCUUCCUCCUCUGCUUUGUGCUGCUGCUACUGAAUACUGAUGUAUAUAAAUGGGCUGUGAUGAUUGCUUUUUUCCUUUUUGGGCUAUGUUCAAUUCACGGCAUUGAGAAAAUAUCCGACCCGUAUCUUGGCGGGGCGACCCGGUCCGGCUUUUGUAUAGCUAACUGGUGUUUGCAGCCAUGGCGGCGUCGCCUUCUCUUUUGCUUUGACAAAAAAUACAGCAAAACUGAGCCCUCACGAAAAGUUCCGUCUAAUAGCCUGUUUGGCCGUGCUUCUAAAAUCAGCUUAUUUUGUAGUAGCUUGUUUGGUCGUGCUUCUAAAAUCAACUUUUUAGAUUUAAGAAACUAACCAUUAUUUUUUGAGAAGGGAAAAGGUUAGCCCAGAAGAAUUGAAGAAAUGAGGCAAAAGCAGAGAGUUUGGGAUUUUUUUUUGAAAGGGUGGUUGCCCCUCUCUUUUUCACCAUUGAUUUUCCUUCAGUAUUUUUAAAAUAAAAUAAAAAACCAACAACCCUUGUUUAUGUCUUUAUGACAAAAGCAGAAGCAGCAGAAAUGAUUUAAGUUAUAUGUUUGGAAACAGCCUCUCUUACCCUAAAGUACAAAAAAUAGAAAACCUUCUGCCACAACUAUUAGAUUGCAAACCCAGUAACUCAAAAUGAUUUGUAGAAAUUCAAACUCGAUAAAGUUCAAAGCCUGAAUUUGCCUCUGGAUGGAUAUGCAUUUAUCUGUCUGUACACUAACACCCUGUUUGGAUGGUUGUUCUCAUUGUAUUGUAUUGUUUCCUUGAAAAGCUACACAACAAAAAAUAUGGAGAAGAAAUUAUAAUCAGGUGAUAGAAAAGACCUCAAUGGUCCCUGUUGAUAGGCCGUAUCUUGGCAGGGCAGCCCGAUAACGGGAUUUGCAGCCAUGGCGGUGCCUGAGAUGGAGUACAGAUCUGAGCCUCAAAAUCUUUGUUAUUAUCAUCUCUACUUUACCAGAAGGAAGAAUGAGGCCAACAGGGGUAAGAGGGAGUUCUAGGAGGGUGGUUGCCCGCUCUGCUUGGCCUAUGAUUUCUCCAUUAAUAAAACCAACAGCCCUCAUUCCUCAAAGAAAACCAAGAAAAUAAACAUCUGGCGCCUUUGCGUUAGGCAUUACUGGAUUCUUAGUUUGAGCGCUUAGUCCAAAACUUCCACACUUACAUGAAAUGAAUGAAAGAGUCAACAUUCUGAAAGAGGCAGUUAUUGUACUUGUUUAUUUGUGCUAUAAACCAUAGGGCAUAGAGACAAUUUGACCCGUAUCUUGGCUUGGUAUGGGCUGUGAUUUGAGGCUCCUCUUUCACAUGCAAUCGAUUGUUUGCAGCCAUGGCGUGGCUGGCUUCUCUUUUGUCUGACCAAAACACACAUCUGAGCCGUAUUUGCUUGAAAGAAAUUAAACAGAAUCUUUUCCAUGAUCUAAUGUAUCACCAUCUUUUUUCAGUAUCAGUUGAGCAUAGCCUAGAAAUAUAGAAGAAUGAGGCAUCUCUCGGGAUUUUCUGUAAAGGGAGGUUGCCCCUCUCUGCUAUGCCCAUGAUUUUUCCAUUUAUAACCAAAAAAACAACAGCCCUUUCAAAUAAACAAGAAAAAAGAAAAAAAUGAAAUCCUUAAUCCAAACACACACUAUUAUGUUGCUCUUCCUCUUCUUUUUGUGCUGCUGCUACUGAUGUUGUAAAGGGGCUAUGAAGAUUGUUUUCCUUUCUGGGCUAUGUUCAGUCAUGGCAUUGAGAAGAUACCUGACCCGUAUCUUGGCAAGGCGACCCAGUAUGUCUGUUGUAUAGCAAACUGGUGUCUGCAGCCAUGGCGACGUCGCCUUCUCUCUUGCUUUGAUCAAAACAGUAAAUCUGAGCCCUCAAUGGCCAAACAGAGAGAAAGUCAGCUCAUAGAAUGAGACAUCAGUGAGAAAUAUGAUUUAUUUAUUUAUGCAUUUGUUCAGUUUUGCUGGUAAGCCCAUGAUUUCUUGCUGGAAGCAAUUAACAGUGCUUAGUUCUUUCUGUAAAUCUAGCUUCGAGAGAUGCAUGUUGUUGUUGAUCUGCUGAUGCUGUUGCUGCUAGCGUUCUUUUGUUCUCGCUGCUAUGUGGCUGCAUUAACACCCAAACAGCGAGGAUCAUACUAAAGAUAAAGGUAAAAGUGAACAUUUUGAGGCAGUGAUGAUAUGACUCUUGCAAAUGGCGUUAUUGAUUUGCAUUGAGAUGGCCUUAAACUCGUAUCUUGGCAGGGCAAUCUGGAGGAGAUUGCAGCCAUGGCGGUUUUGAGAAACUCAAUGCCUGAUCCUAGUGAGAUAUGAGCCUCAUAUUAAAAUAGCAAAAAUCUCAUUAGUUUAAGUCUGAGGCUGUUGUGAAAGCAGAAGGCUGUGGGGAGUUUCAAUUAGUGGUUUUGCCCCUUUCUGUCAUUCUCUAAUGCCGAUGAUCACUCAAAUGAAAAUAUUUUCCGAUUCCAAAACCAGCCUUUUGGUGAAAACACAUAUAACCUCUCUAUUUUCCUUUCUUGUCACUCCUGUUUCAUUUUAUGUGAUGCAACGAGGCUAUGAAGAUUUUGUUCUUCUGUGAAAGAUGAAUCAAGACAUAUUUCUAUUGAGCUGGGAAAAAACUGUAACUUGGCAUGGCAGCUCAGACGGGUCUGUGAGAUAUUGGAAAAUGUUCCAUUUCUUUGGUGCUUCUUCCGUGUCUCUUAAGGCUAACUGAUGCUUGCAGCCAUGGUGGUUUUACCAAAGCAUUUUUGGUUUUUGUCUGAGGAAAGGCGAAUCUGAGCCUACCCCGUUACUUUGAAUUUGGUUUUUGGUUUUCGCUCUUCUCCUUGGUUUUACCCCGUUAAUCUGAGCUUACCCCUAAAGCUUUCACUAAUGACUCACUCCUAAUUCCUAAAGAAAGAAAGCGAAAUAUGUACAAGAGUUUUUGGUUUUUGCUCUUCUCCUUGGUUUUGCCUCAUUAAUCUGAGGUUACCCGAAAGCUUUCACUAAUGACUCACUUCUAAUUCCUAAAGAAAGAAAGAGAAUAUAUACAAGAAAUAAUUUAUAUUUACAGCUUUCAGGAUAGUAGAAAAAGAACUGUUAUGGAGAUGUAACAAAACAAAAGCUCAGGAGAACGAGAAUGAGGCUUCAGAGAGUUUAGGAUUUUCUGUUGAAAGGGUGGUUGCCUCUCUCCGUAUUAGCCCAUGAUUUCUCCCUUACUGUAACAAUCCCAACAACCCUGUAAAAAUUUCAUGGAAUGGCCAGUUUUCGCCUUGCUAUUUAAGGUAUAUCCAUUUUUUUCAAAGUAUUUAACUUGUAGCCAGUGUUGGUGAGUAUGAUUGACUGCUUGAAAGAGGCGCUGAUGAUUUUUUUUCAAUCUUCUAUUUCCUUCUGAGCCUAUCAAUUGGGCAUUUGAGAUGACUUGACUCGUAUCUUGGCAGGGCAUGCCCCCAAAUUUCUGGUGGUUUUUUGCAGCCAUGGCGCCGUCAGAUCUCCUUUUGCUUGACUUAGAACACAGAUCUGAGCCUCAAAACCGUAAUCAGGUCUACCUGGUUGGACCGAAGCAGGGGUGAUUUGCACAAAUAGGAUGCUUUGAGGUCAUUAUUUAUAUUUUGUUGCGUAAGCUUUUUUGCAAUCUCAUUAGUUUAAGUCUGAGGCUGCGGUGAAAUCAGAGAGCUGUGGGGAGUUUCAAUGGGUGGUUUUGCCCCUCUCUGUCAUUCUGCGCUGCCAAUGAUCACUCCAAUGAAAAACUUUUCCAACUACAAAACCACCCUUUUGGUGAAAAUACUUAUGACCUUGCUAGUUUCCUUUUCUUGUUACUCCCUCGGUUUCAUUUUAUGUGCAAUGAGGCUAUGCAGAUUUUGUUUUUCUGUGGAAUAUGAAUCAGAUAUCUUUCUAUUACAACAACAGCAAUAUACCCGGUGAAAUCCCACAAGUGGAGACUGGGGAGGGUAGUGUGUGCGCAGACCUUAACCCUACCCUUGUGAAGAUAGAGAGGCUGUUUCCGAUAGAGUUGUAGAAAUUAGGAUUUGAGAUUAUCCGGACCGUAUCUUGGCAGGGCAUGCCCCCAUAUUUCUGUUGGUUUAUGCAGCCAUGGCGUCUUUGGAUCUCUUUUUGCAUCUGUCGAGUUGAAGUGUCUCAAUGACAAUUCAUGACUAGUUUGAGGGCUAUCUAUGUAUUCUGCCUAUCUGAAAUAACAAUACGUAUACAAUACAAUGGUAACAACCAUCCAAACAAGCUGUUAUUAGUCUAUUUGGUUUAGAGACAAAGAAUGAGGGUUGCAGAGAGUAGAGGGAAGCUCAAAGGCAGCUGCUCCUCUCUACAAUACUUGUGAUUUCAUAUUUGCCAAAAAAGGCCCUACUGCAGUAAACUGUAUCCAAACGACCGCUCUACUCUAUCUCCAAAUCCUCACUCCCAAAAAGCGAAUCAAUAAUAAUAAUAUUAAUUGUAGCAAAAAUAUGAGGCUGUGAUGAUAUUUUUUUCUUCUGUCUCUGAGCAAAUCAAUUAGGGAAGAGAACAAUUGGACCCGUAUUUUGGCGGGGCGACCGGGACGGUGACGACUUGCAACCGGUAUUUGCAGCCAUGGCGGUGUCUCCAAUCUCUUGCCCUAGCUUUAACAUUACAGAUCUGAGCCUCAAUUGGAAGGUUAUUUUCUUAAGUUCAAAAUUACAGGCUCUUUUCCGUUGAAUUUUGAAAUUCGCAGGUGAAAAACUCACGAGAAUUUCCCCUAAAAACGCAAAAAUGCUAGCCCAGAAAGAAAUGAGGCAAAACAGAGAGAGUAUUGGGAUUUUCAUUAGAAGGGUGGUUGCCCCUCUCUGUUCCGCCAUUGAUUUUCCUCCAUUUUCAGAAAAAAAACCGACAGCCCUUGUUUAUGACAAAAGCAGAAGCAGACAAUGUUUGGACAUAAGAACUUUAAAAUUCCUGAAAAAAGUAAAAAAAAAUUCAGUGGAAUCUGUAUUUACUUUUUGUGUGUGUGUGUUUAUGUUGCUGAUGGGAGUUACAUAAAGAGGCAGUGAUGAUGAUGUUUCUUGUAUCCGGGCUAACCGAUUUGGGCAUAGAGAUGACCGGACCCGUAUCUUGGCGUGGCAACCCGGUAUGGCCUGUGAUUGAGUUUUCUGUCUCUCACUUGCAACUGGUGUUUUGCAGCCAUGGCAUAGCUGGCUUCUCUUUGCCUUAUCAUGACAUAUCUGAGCCCCAUUUGCAAGAAAAUAAAAAAAGAUAAAUCUUUUCUAUGAUUUGGAUUAACAGGAAAAUAGGAAGGGGAGUCUUGGAUUAACGGUAAGUUCUCGUGUGACCUAUCCGUCACGAGUUCGAGUUGUGAAAGCGUUCACAGCUAUUGAUGCUUGCAUUAGGGUAUCUGUCUACAUCACACUCCUUGAGUGGGGCGACUCCCCGGGCCCUCGCGAAUGUGGGUUGUCUUGUGCACUGGGCUGCCCUUGGAUUAACAGGAAAAUAACAAAAAACUUAUUUGUUGGUUUGAGGCUGCGGUCAAGGCAGAGAGAUGUAGGAAGUUUCAUUGGGUGGUUUUGCCCCUCUGUAAUUGUCUGCUGCUGAUGAUUGCUCAAAUGCUCGUUUUUAAAACCACCCUUUUGGUGAAAAUAAGUAUUACUCCCUCCCUUUCAAUUUAUGUGACGCAAUGAGGCUAUGAAGGAAGGGGAUCCUUGGCUUAGCUGGUAAAGUUGUUGGCAUGUGACUAGGAGGUCACGGGUUCAAGCCGUGGAAAAAAUGCAGGGUAAGACUGCGUACAAUAGACCCUUGUGAUCUGGCCCUUCCCCGGACCCCGCGCAUAGUGGGAGCUUAGUGCACCGGCCUGCCCUGAAUGAGUCUAUGAAGAUCUUAUUCUUUUGUGGAAGAUGAAUCAGACUCAUAAAUCUAUUGAGCUGGGAAAAAUUUGUAAUCUUGGCGUGGCAGCUCAGAUGGGUCUUUGAGAUAUUGGAGAAAAAUCCGUUUUUGUGUGUUUUCCCUGUUUCAUAAGACUAACUGAUGCUUGCAGCUAUGACGGUCGUUUUCCAAAGCUUUUUGGGUUUUGUCUGAGUAAAGGAGAAGAAUGAGGCAACAGAGAGAUUGGGAUUUUCUGUAAAAGGGUGGUUGCCCCUCUCUGUUAUGCCUGCGAUUUCUCCAUUGUAAUCAACAGUCCUUUGAAUUAAACCCAAAAGAAAAAAACUUCAUCAUCCAAUCAGACCCUUAAUACAUUGCUCUUACUCUUCCUCCUCUCUGUGUUGCUGCUACUGAAUACUGAUGUAUAUAUAGGGGCUGUGAUUUUUGCUUUUCGUUUCUGGGCUACGUUCGAUUCAUGGCAUUGAGAAAAUAUCCGACCCGUACCUUGGCAGGGUGACCCUGUACGGCUUUUGUAUAGCAAACUGGUGUCUGCAGCUAUGGUGGCGUCGCCUUCUCAUUUGCUUGCACAAAGAAUACAGCAGAUCUGAGCCCUCACGAAAAGCCCCCCAUGUAAUAGCCUGUUUGGCCGUGCUUCCAAAAACAGCUUAUCAGCUUUAAAAAACUAACCCUUAAUUUUUGAGACCUCACAAGUAUGCAAUUAUGAGAAGGGAAAAGGUUAGCCCAGAAGAAUUAAAGAAAUGAGGCAAAAACAGAAAGUUUGGGGUUUUCUUUGAAAGGGUGGUUGCCCCUCUCUGUUUCACCAUUGAUUUUCCUCCAUUAUUAAAAAAAAAAGGAACCAACAGCCCUUGUUUAUGUCUUUAUGACAAAAGCAGAAGCAGCAGAAAUGAUUUAAGUUAUAUAUACUGACAUCUCUGUUUGGAAACAGCCUCUUUACCCGUAUAAGGUAGGGUUAAGGCUGCGUACUCACUGUCCUCCCCAGACCCACUUGUGAGAUUAUACUGGUUUUUUGUUGUUGUUGUUGCAUACUGACAUCUCUGUCUUUCCUCUGUGUUCAUUUACACUAUUGAUGGUAGGUACAUAAAGUGGCAGUGAUGAUGUCUCGGCUAACCGAUUUGGGCAUUGAGUUGAGCCGACCCGUAUCUUGGCGUGGCAACCCGGGAUGGCCUCUGUGGAGAGUUUUGAAUCUUCUCUAACACAUGCAACUGGUGUUUUGCAGCCAUGGCAUUGUUGGUUUCUCUUUUGCCUUAUCAUAACACACAUCUGAGCCUCAUUUGCUUGAAAAUACCAAAACAGAAUCUUUUCCAUGAUUCAUUGUCGGGAUAUAUCGAACCUGCGACCUUCUGCCACGACUAAAAAUUAGAAUUUGGGAUUAUCCGGACCGUAUCUUGGCAGGGCAUGCCCCCAGAUUUGUGGUGGUUUAUGCAGCCAUGGUGUCAUCGGAUCUCUUUUUGCAUCUGUCUAGUUGAAGUGUCUCAACGACAAUUCAUGACAAGUUUAAGGGGCUAUCUAUGUAUUCUGCCUAUCUGGAAUAACAAUACAAUACAAUGGUAACAACCAUCCAAACAAGCUGUUAUUAGUCUAUUUGGUUUAGAGACAAGUUAUGCCACUCGCGGUUUCCCUUGGUAUUUGCAGCCAUGGCGGCGGCGGACUCUUUUUGCUUGAGCUAUAUAACACAGAUCCGAGCCUCAAAAAGGAAACACGAAAAUGGUGAUACAAGUCUGAGGCUGUGGUGAAAGCAGAGGGCUGUGGGGAGUUUCUAUGGGUGGUUUUGCCCGUAUUUUUCUGCUCAGAUGAUCUCUCAAAUGAAAAUUUUUCUAAUUGCAAAACCACCCUUUUGGUGAAAUUUCAGUUGAUCUCCCUCUUUUCCUUUUCUAGUAACUCCCUCCGCUUCAUUUUAUGUGCAAUGAGGCUAUGAAGAUCUUGUUCUUCUGUGGAAGAUGAAUUCCAUAAUUUCGUCAUCAUUACCUGUACUUUGAAACCUUUUCGGUUUUUGUCUGAGAAAAGGCGAAUCUGAGCCUACUACAUUGCCUUGAUUUUUUUAAAAGAAUGAGGCUUUUAGACUCGAUAAAUGAAGGAGUUCUUAAGGGUGGUUGCUCUGUUUCUCUUUGAGUUGAUACAUAUCUUGGCUUGACGAAGUUCAGUCGAAUUUGUGAGUUGGUUUUAUUUUCUCUUACAGUAAGCCAUCUGCCUUUUGUAGCCGUGGCAGACUUGCCCAUUUUCUGAUGGUUUUUGGACAAAUCUGAGCCUCAUUUCUGUUAAACUUUGAAUUCCUUCUACAAUCUAUCUGCUCUUAUUAUGUUCUUUUUAAUUUAUAAUUUUUUGAAUUCUCUAACAUUCUCAUCAUGACCUCCUCCCAAGUUCAAAAAGAAGUGUCAUUAUUUUCUCUGUUUUUGAACUCUCCGUAAAGAAUCAGAAUGUUGCCUCUUUGAUACGGUUAAUUUGUUUCCCUCUGUCUAGAAAUUUAGGCCUGUGAAUACUGACGUCUAUGUUGGAGUUAACUUUGUUGCUGAGAUGUUUUAUUGGAUUUAUUCUUGUUGAAUUCCAUAAUUUCGUCAGCAUUACCUGUACUUUGAACAAUAUACUCACCUUUGAAAAUAAUGUAAUACUACUGAAUCAAUUUAUGCAGGAACUCUGCAGUUGCUGCUGUCAGAAUACAAGCCAAAAGCUAAAAUUUUCAUCUGUUGAUAACUUUUAGUAACUGUAUUGGGGAAAGGCAAGCAAGAACCCAGUGGAAUAGUCGAGGCGUGCACAAGGUGGUCCGAGUAAAACCAUUACAAAAAGGAAAUACAUGUCUUUUCUAAGCUGUUUGUUGCUGAUCCUUGGUUGUUAAGGAAGCAUUUACCUCCCAAAAUUUCCAAGUGGAUUUACACAUGCUACAUCAAGGAGCAGCCGAUAGAAAAUGUCCAGGUUCCAAAGGAAGCCUGUUGGAUGAUCCGAAAGAUUUUCGAGGCAAGGAUGAGUCUGGGACAAAGUGGCACAGUGGAUGUAAAUGCAUUGCAACAGAGCCUAAUCAUGGGAGCAGCACCUUCAAUGAGUGAUUGAAAAUGCUAAAGGUAAAUCUCAGUGGGCUCAAGCGUUCAGGAUGUUAUACUCAGAGCUCAUAUACAACAUAUGGAUUGAAGAAACUGGAGCAUCUUUGAAAAGAGAAGUAGAAGUUGGGAAAACAUUGCCAAAGAGAUCGUCUAUGUGAGCCUGUGUUAGAGCCAGAGGCGGACCUAUGUGUUAUAGUGAGGGGUCGCCGGACCCCGUAAGCUUCGGCAGAAAUCUUUUAUAUGUAUAUGUAUAUAUAUACCUUCAAAAUGGUUAAUUUAAAGCACUUGGCAUCUUGAACACUAAAAGCCUUUGGGGGUUUAGGGUUUAGGGUUUGGGGGCACUAGUUGAGUAGAAUAAUGUGCCCCGUCGCGGAUCCGCCUCUGGUUAGAGCUCCACCUAGACUAAGGAAUGUAAUUCAUAGUUAUACUUUCUAGUGAAGUCUGAUAGCUCAAAUAGUCAAUUACAGCUAGCUAGCUGUGUAUAGCUUACCUAUUGCCUUUGUACAGUUUCACUUGGACAUUAAUAUAAAAAGUUUAAUUACCAAAAAAAAAAAAGUUAC